rnacentral:lncRNA from 1 species
UGCCUUGUAAAUAAGUGUUGUCUGUAGGUAAGGAAAACAAUUAAUUUUCACAGCAGCUUUCCUGUGGAAGUGUAAAUCAGGAUCCAUCUUCCUGAUGUCAGCGAGCCCCCAGCCCACUUGCCCCUCUGACAGCAGAAAAAUGAGGACUCAAUGAAGCAGAAAAACAAUGUUAGUCUUUGGUGGCCAGGGAAAAGGAGGAAAGCUCGUGGUGGUCUCCAGAUGAUCUGGCCCUGACUGAAGCAAUCUCCUUCCACGAGGAGGGAGCAAAGGGCUGGCAAGUGCAGGCUGUUGGAGAGGACUUCUGGCUUUUUUCCAGGGUACCUGACUGUCUUAUUGCAUACUGGUGUCAUCCAGGGCAUCCAACAUGAAGAUCUCUAAUGUUAAUGAUAAAGAAAAUUACUUCCCUGCGAUCGGGAUUGGAGUGAGCACAAGUGGCAUCACUGUUCUGUCAGUUUCCCAGGCAUGAUGGAACAGCCCAAAUUCCAGCUGAUCUGCAAACCUGUGCACUUCCCUCUGUAGCUGUAGUAGCAGUGUGGUGGAUUGCUUGUCUGUCCUUCUACCAGACUUACCACAGAGUCUAUUUG